GCAUUUCUUGCAGAGCUGGGCGAAAGACCCAUCCUUGAGCUCCCAGCCAUUAACGAACUGAUCACUCUCGGCCUUGCAGGAAAAGCACGAAGCUUUGGCAGCCAUUGAAGCCAAGAAGCAAAGACAGUGACGGAGGCAGAGAGUAUAAAUGCGUGUGGGUCAAAGCCAUUUCGACCUUUCCUAAUUUGCGAUGGCUCACAAAUUGGGAAUUAGGGUUUUGGGGGAUUGAAAAAGUAGGAGAAUUUUGAUGGUUUCCAAAGCUCAGGAAGAACCA
rnacentral:lncRNA from 1 species